UGAUUUAAUAAGGCGUAGCUCUUCUUUGCACUGUUCCACAAUUUCCUUUAAGUCCCAUGAAGGUUCGGCCCGGCCCAUCACAGCUUCCACCAAACUUGAACUGUCGCUUUCUAUCACCCAUCUGCAGCUUUGACCAGUGCCUGUGCCCACGUGCGUAGCUUCACUUCGACUCAAGUGCUUCAAUCCCUACAGCAAAGCUAGGACUUCUGCUUGCUGGGGAGAAAGCGCCUAGAUCUGCACUGCAAAGCUGUCGGCCACGAUCCCCGACGGGUCUCACAAUAUGCCAGCAGCCGAGCCUAAGAAUUCGCCCGAAGACCAUGAGGCAUCGCCAUUUAGCUUCAUCUCAUCUUUUCUGGCGGCGUCCAUCUACUCAGUAGGUUUCGGUUUGUGGGUUUUUGCCCUUUCUGAUUCUGCCAUCUAUUGAAGUUUUUUUGUUGAGCUAGUGCCAAAUCUACAAGAGCCGUCAGUUGUGGAGGCUUGCCUCAAAAAAUAAAAUCGUUUCGGGAUUUCCAGAUGUUCCAUAGCACAGAAGCAAUUUGUUCUCUUUCAGGAUGCAACACCAAGAGGAGAGGGCUGUGGUCUGAGCCAAUUUCUGAUAGAGCCUGUACUUCAGCAGCAGGGAAGGGGGGAUUUCUUUGAUCACUUCAACUACAUCAUUCUCCAACCACAGGUGGCCCAGGCUUUUACAUAAGAUUGAAGGGAGCUCUAUGGUUGAAAUGGCAAGAUUGAAGGGAACUGUGGUAUGUCGAACCCGAUUCAGCCUUUUGUCUCAGCAGGGAAUAAGUAGAACUCAGUACAAAGAACAAGACCAGCACCGAUUCAGCCUUUUGUCUCAGCAAGGGAUAAGUAGAACUCAGUACAAAGAACAAGACCAGCACCGAUUCAGCCUUUUGUCUCAGCAAGGGAUAAGUAGAACUCAGUACAAAGAACAAAACCAGCACCGCUCAAACAAGGCGAGCUCCAUUCAUCAAGACCCAUUCAACUUACUUCGUAGCAGUCUACUUUAAAGCCAAAAACCCAUUCCGCUACAAUAAAAGCAGACAACCCAGAAGACAACCAUAAAGACAAUGGCAACAUCCCACCUUGCACUAGGCUAGAACUUCGAGUCAUAAAGCAUUGAUUGAAAUCACCGCAGGUAGAUGGUAGGACUGUUCCAUUGCUCAGGACUUCACGUUUCUACGGGUAAAACAAUAGGGGAGGGUUUCUGAUGAUUACGUAAUGGGUCCAUGAUUGAUUGAUGAAGUUUUGUAAUGCGAUGAGUUUGAUGAGUGAUAGAAAUAUGACAAUGGUUUCUCCUAUUUUAGCAUAGACCUGUGCUGUACCAUAAUGUCCAUGCUUUCUCUAUUAGCACAAAAGGGUCGAAACAUUUAUAUGAUAAA